UCGCAGUAGUGUUUGCGUUUGUGAUGUUAUAAUUUUGUUGUACCAGGUUAGCAUGCGGAGAAAAUGUUUUGAAAGAAACAAAAACUGUUUAAAUCGUUUGGAUAGUAAUCAGUAUUCAAAAGAACAGUGGUGUUUUCGUACUAUGAUCUCACUGACGUGAAACGAAUCAAGGUGGACAGGUUUAAUUCCUCUUUUGAAUUCAAAAAGAUUGGCGUAAUUAGUACGUACCUUGCAUAUGUAAUGUAUUGGCGGAUGGCGGCGCCGCAUUAUCCGGACGACCGGUUCCGGAUGAUUCUGCAGUAGAUGAAAACCGCGAAACGUUUGUACUUCUGGCAUGCAAAUGGUCUGCGCAGACCGAUCGAUGAUCCGCGUCGCUCAAUGGUUGAUCAAAUUUAUUGAACAAAUUUUCGUGAUGUCUCCGUGGCGGAAUGUUGCCUUCGAAGGGUGCGACAAACGCGUGCUUGAGUGAUAAAUUAGAAUCAUUUUGGAGGAAGAGCUGAAAUGAAGACGUAAAACAAUCGAACACCGCAGGCCAGAAGGGCAUUUGUGGAGCGGACUAGAUUGACCUCCCGGAAGGGUACAUCUUCAGCUUGACUCGCAUGGAAUGUUAUGCAAUGAUCGUGACAUUAUAUUGUAAAUUAAAUCAGUUUGGUAAAGAGUCCACAUUUAGUUUGGGAAGUCAUAAAUGAAGAAUAAGGCA